rnacentral:rRNA from 1 species
CAACUUUCAACAACGGAUCUCUUGGUUCUGGCAUCGAUGAAGAACGCAGCGAAAUGCGAUAAGUAGUGUGAAUUGCAGAAUUCCGUGAAUCAUCGAAUCUUUGAACGCACAUUGCGCCUAUUGGUAUUCCAAUAGGCAUGCCUGUUCGAGCGUCAU